CCCAUCUUCCUGCCUUCCCGCCUGCCUUCCUGCCUUCCUUCCUUCCUUCCUUCCCUUCUUCCUUCCCUCCUUCCCUCUUUAAUGUUUGCUAUAAACUACUUGACUGAGAGGAACAUGCAGAGAAGGAAAUGUAAAGGAAUUAACGGUAGGUAGGUAAAGAAUGCUGAGGCAGUCCUUAGCACUGAUUGUGCUGCAGUUUGCUCAGCAAGGCUAGAGAAUGCAAAAUAAUCUGUUUUAGCAUUGUUGGUGGGUUUUUUGGUUGUUGGUUUUUUUUUUUUUGUCAAGUUGGAUUAGAAGCUGUGGAAAUGAUCACUUCAACAAAUGUAUGAAAAGUUGCUUGUUGUCUUUGCACUGAUGCCAACUGUAUUGUGAACUCAGUUAAUGGGCUCCUGUAGAGGAGCGUGAAGGAAAUAUGUUUCAUUUUAUUUUCCAUAAUGAAUACUAUGUGAUCAUUCUAGCUCCCACUUAAAUUGUUGGUGUGGUUUGGAAGAGGAGGUAGUUUUUUCCUAUUUUUUAUUUUUUUCUGCUGUUACUUGUUAAGAGAUAAUGAAAAGGGGAAGUGCAAGUGACAAAAGAAACAAAAACAGUAUAAAGAUUUAGAUGGAACAUUUCAGUUGUCCUUCAUCCCCGAGAAAGCAAUCUUUAGAAACAUACAGAGGCAAAUCCAGAUUUGAAAAAAAAGAAAAAAGUGUUUUAAUUUGUCUAUUUGCAAAGCUUAAGUUUUGAGAAUUAAAUUCUCAAAGUUAAGUGGACUUGAGAAUGUAAAAGUAAGAGGUUUAGAUUCUGAUCUCUUGUUUAUUUGCUCCAGGUAAUGGAACUUGAAUUUGACUCUGAGACCAAGCAUACGUUAACUACUCUCUUGGGGACUCCCAGUCCAGUCCCAUUUCCCAUAUUACGGUGGCUGGAUUUCCAUUUCUCCUUUGUUUUACACAAAGCUCCCUUAAAGCUGUGGUUAUCCUGAUGAUUCAAAUUGUCAUUCCCAAGACCAUGGCAACCAUUAUUGUCUGGAGGACUGUUCUGGACCCUUUCUAAAGGGCAGAAAAGAGGCAGAAAAAAACUGCCGCUGCCACCAUCUCCUAAUAGUGAAGGAGAGAAAAUGAAGCCACAUGGUUCAGAGAUGAAAACAUGAACUCUGACUUACCUUUCUUCCCUGAUACAACUAACAUGCUCUCUUCCACAGCCUACAGCAACUUGCUCAUGUCUGCAAUUUUUCAACAGCUGACCUUGUCAUCCACAAGCAGCCUUGUCUCCCUCUCAUCUGACUUGUUCCUCUUCACUUCUGGGCAACACAGUCCCCAGAAUCAGGAGCUGGAGAUCCAGCCUCUCGGAUUUGUGGAGGAAAGACCCAGCUGCAGUCUGUCCACACUGCAGACAGCCCCUGCUCUCAGAGAAGGCAGGACACCCAAGAAGAUUUUGAAACAGUGUGAAAAGCUUGUAUCAUGAAUAGUAGAGAAAGAAACCUUGGAGGUUCAAGUUUCUGUUUCUCCCAAAAGUGAGUUUCACAUGCUAUGUUUCUGGUGGUUUUCGUUGUUGUUGUUGUUUUUUUGGGAGGGUGGAGGGGGGAUGUGGAGGUGAAUUACAAUAUUAUUGCCAAGGGAGUUGCUAAAGAUUUGAAAACACCGGCACUCUUCAAUGUUAAUUUACAAGAUUUUAAAGAGCUGGUAGUAGUAUCUUGACCUAUUCAGGUCCAGUGAAACUUAUCACAGCCAUGCAAAUACGUUUCCUCCAGAAAAUAUCAGGAUUUAAUACAAAUGGUUAUCACAAUUUUUAAAGAAGUGGCUUCUAGAAUAGAAACAGUAAGAUGUUGAGAAACUCAGGAUUAAGUCUUGUUUUCAAACCAAAUUAUUUAAAAUGUUGUUAGCUGUACUCUGAAAGUGUGUCCAUGCAGUAUAUUUAUCCAACCCCAAUGGCUGUUCAAGCCUUGAUAUUCACUAUCAUAGCAUGAUUUACAAAACUUAACUCUCAGUCUUAAGUGUGCCUACAACAGAAAAAUUAGUUUGUCUUACAUGUUUUAGAAGGUGCUGUGUGGUCUGGAUCUUCAGCCAGAAUGUUUGUUGCACUUAAAUUCAUUUAAUCUCCUCAAUGUAAAUCCCACCCACUCACUUAUCUGCUCUGCUCUGUGAAAUUCAGGCAUGUAAAAAACUCACAAAAUGAGAUGUAUGAAACAGCUUUGCCUAACUUCAGGCUUUCUAGGCAAUCAACACCUGCGACUUCAAGCUACUGUGACAAAAAUGUAAGAAAUGUUCUGUCACAGAAUGCUAACUAUUGGCAGUCUUGACUGACGGACGUCAGAAAGCCCUCAUGUCUCACGUUUGUACUUCCUAACCUUGUGUGUGGUUUUUAUCCUCAGAAAAUGCAGUAUGUCAUGAUCCUUUAAAUAACAAAUGUCCUUAUUCCUUGUAAUGGGGUCAUUAAGAACUCUAAUGUUCCAGGUAUAAAUUCCUGCUACUACUGUGCACCUUCAUUUGUUAUUCAUGUGUGAAUCCCUUUGGGUUCCCAAUUACUAUCCGGCAACAGCAAUUGGCUCUUGAAAUUAUCCCCACAGGACUGACUUUGUAAAGGACACUGCAGUUUACAUCUUAGUUCCCUAAUUACAGACACAACGCUCGAUAAACCUUGAACAACUAGUAAUUGGAAGCUAAUGGUUAGUCUCAUUGAAUCCCCGUUGACACAGAUUUUGUUGCCCGAUAACUGACCACAAGUGGGUCAUGUGAGAAGGCAGGAGUGAAGAAAGAAUAUUAAGGUCAUACACUACCAGUGGGAAUUGACUGGAAAAAGUCCCUUAUGAAGUGGGGGCUUAACAUCCUCAGUUUGUUACAACUCAGUGCACAACAUCUGAAACACCACAAGUGUUACAACUGCAUCUCCCACCUAGGGUAAGAAAUGGCAGAUUAGAUUUGUGAGGGAAGGAGGGAUAGGUUUCAAAGAGCUUUUUGCCCCGCUCUGUGUGCUGGUCUCUUCUCCGCAAGUGCAAUGUAGCCAUAAAAUACCUUGUGUUAAUUUAGUUGAAGUCUUGGUCCUAAUGCUAUCUCAAGAGCCAAAAGUUUUUGUUACUUUCCAUGCACACUGUCCUUCCACUCCCUGCUUCAGAAUCAAGCCCUUUAGAACAAAAAAGAGAAUAACCAAGAUUAUAAUUUAUUUGACCUUUUCAAUAUUCCUUUUCAUCAAGUGCAAAGCAAAAUAGUUUUAUCACAAUAAAGUUCAUUCUAUGCUGUAUUUAAUACUACUCCCUCAUCCAAAUAUAAAUGCAGACCUCUGACAAAGAGCACAUGACAUCACACAUGUUCCAGCUGGUUAUAUAAAUACUGUAAGAUUACUUAGUAAAAAUGAUUGCUUGUGAAAAACAUUAUCAAGCAACGGUUUGAGCUAGGGUCAUUGUGUUCUGAUGAUGCAUGCUUUUUGUUAUGGCAGGUAAGAAGAAAGCUUGUGUGGAAUUUUGUUGGAACCACUUCAUUUACUACUUCAUUUACUACUUUCUUGAAACAGAACCUUUUAUGAAUUAACUCUAAAGUGAGAUCAAUAAUCUUAUAAAAUAAUCCAUGAUUUCAAAAAUACCUUAAUUUUGCAUCGGCCCUGUUACCAGUGCCAUGAAAAUAUUAAUAUUUUCAUCAUAAAAGUAUGACAUAAGAGGAGCCAUCCUGACCCAAACAAAGGGUACAUCAAGCCAAGCAGCCCAUCUUCACCACUUGCCAUUAGUGGAUGUCUGGAGAAUCACAAGAUCAACACACGCAUAUUGCCCCACCACAUCCCCAGAAUUCUCCCAUCUUCCACCCUUCAGGGUCAGGAUUUCCUGACCCUCAUAUGGUUUGCUGAGUAACCUACUGUCUUCUGAACAUUAAUCCCAUCUUCCUAUGAUGGGAUACAAACAUUUUGUAUCCACGGUGUCCUUUGGGAGGGAACUUCACAGACCCACUGCCUGCUGAGUGAAAAAACACCUCCUUUUGUUUGUAUUAAACUUAAUUCCUUUGAUAGUCUGUAGAUUUUGCAAUGAAAUACUGUUGUCCUUAGUACCAAGGGAGUCUAGCAAUUCAUUUUGCAAGUCUCUGGCACAGCACUUCCUGGCUAUUGUACAAGACCAUGUAUCCAUUUUAAGCAGACAUGCACACAAAUAUUGACUUUUUAGUUGGUUGCAUUUUACAUUUGCAUGGCAACACUACACCCAGCACGAAAGCUUACAGCACAGCAGCAGAAAAUAAGGCAUAUUCAAUACCUGCUUUAUCUAGCACUUCUCCAGUUCCAGUAUUGAUGGGUUUGAGACACAGGACAGAGAUUACCUGUACCCCAGGCCUGACAUGGACCACCAGCAGUGCUGCAGUGCAUUGGUGUUGUCCUCCACUGAUGCUGAAAGCAGUGCACAUCCACCAGCCAGGAGUGUGCCCUCUGGCGAGUUCACUUGUUAGGCUCAGUCUCAAAGACUCUCAGGAGACACCAGAGAGGACUUUCAUUUCUCCACCUGUUUUCACAGAAAAAAAUAUAACCCUUUCUUGGGAUGUCCUGCCAAAUGAGCACUUUGGAUUUGAAUGACAGGGGUAAAGUUGGCUGUGGACACUCCUUUGCUGAAGGUUUGUGCAGUCUGAAUAGCCCAUUGUGUUAGGCAGAGCAAAGGACAUAGCUGCACACAGUUUGACAACUAAUCAACAGUUCAUCACACCAGUGCUGUUCCGCAGCAGCUGAACGCAGAUCAGACAAGAGCUUGCUAACUGCCCACCAGCAAUUGCUGAGUGAUAACACAUGCAGUUCCCCACAUGUUUAUGCAGAUACUCAGAUUUAUCUGACAGUUUUAUACCCAGAAGCAUGAUACUCAGUAAUUAAAAUUAAAAAUGUUUUGUCAGCCAAAACAAAUGGCUAUAUAAAUUAGAAAGCUGUAAAAAUCAGUGGUAUCCAAAAAUAAAGAUCCAUAGAUAAAUCAGAAUGCUGCAACAGAGAAUGUUUUAACAUAAGUGUGUUAAUGUACAGCCGUUCUUAAAUAUAGGCUCUGAUUCUGACUGGGAGAAGAGUAAUUUUCCAGUAAUAGCCAAGAGGAGCUUUGAGAGAUUAAAUGGAAAAAAAAUCUUGCUAAACAAGGGGCGGGGGGAAAGAAAGUGCAUAUCCUUCCAGUGGGAAGGAAACAGGGAGGUGGUAGGGUGGGGAGAUGCGCUGCGGUUCAGGGUUUUCUCCCCACUGUCUUGUCAAGAGGGCUGAGGUGAGUGUCACAGUGUCAGGAGGGGACUGGAGGGUGCCUUUGCUGUGCAUCUUCUGCAGAGGACAAUAAGGACCAGUAAAGUUUCUUCAUCUCCUGCUAUGCUUGUGAAGCCACAUACUGCCCUAUCUUGUGCCCACAAAAGGCAGGAACUUUCCUGGCUCUGGUUCCCACUUGUACACUUCUGCAUCAGAGGGCAGGUGAGGGCAAUCUCCAUCUAAAAAAAAAAGAAAACAACAACGAAAAAAAAAAACCCACAGUGAUUAAGCUGCAAAUCUCUUAGAUAAAUCCCUUCCCCCUUGCUUCUCUGAAGGGCCUGCAGUUUCUUGCCUUACCAAGUGAGCAGUGACCUAGCCCUGACCCUUUAAGUAGACCCUGUGGCUCAGCAAUAGCUCUGAACAGGUCUCCUCUGCUGCUGGUUUACAGCUGACAUCAGUCACACUGCCUGGGGUCCUCUGGGUGCAACUGCCCUCUGGCCUUGGUUGUCAGCUUGGGAGCAGGGAAGAGCCCUGGUAAAAAAAAAACGUCUGCAAAGCCGAAAGCAGCAUUAACAGCUGAUUGAAAGAGCAUUUUUUCUGUUUCUGCCUCAACCAUAGGACAGAGAGUGCUUGGAAUGAAAAGUGGGUUCAGGAAUGGAUGACAGAAAAUGACAGCCUUCUUUUUCCAAGAGGCUUUUACAGUUCUCUUGGGUCUCACCACACCUCUAUCAGUCCUGCUGGAGUUACCUAAGAUUUUUGAGCAUACAGUUCUGACCAAUGACAAUGGGAAAAAAAGUGAAAAUAUGAUAACAAGCUUAGGCACAGCCAGAUAGUCAGACAAGGAGGGUAGCAUUUCUGCAGCAAUUAAAACAUGACUGUCUAAGACACUAUCCCUGCACACAGCAAUAUGAAACCUACCCCAUCCCUUCCUCAGAUAGGCUGAGUUCAGUAGGAUAAAUGUAGUCUGUCUCUGAUUUUCCCUCAUUGGCAUAGCUCCAGGUAGCUUCAGUAGGAUGCCUUGAGUUACUCUAGCCACUACUGAAAACCAAAUCCACCACAGGCUAUGGAGAACAAAGCUGUUUCUGCUGAGCAGUAAGCUGACUGAAUAAAUGACAGAAUGCUGAGACUGAUUUUCUUGGGUUAGUCUCUCUAAUCAGGUGGAUCUUGAAGAGGUACAGCUACUGGGGAGCAAGGCAAAAGUUCUGUGCGGCCAUUCCUGGAGCAGUAUGCUUAUGCAAUGAUUGUGAGGAUGCCUGCUCAUGGAAUAACUUUACCAAAAGGCAAGACAGGGCAUAUUUUUCUCUUUCAGGAAUAGAGUUCUGAAUGCAGUCUUUCCAGAUCAUACAAAUGAGUCAUGCUUUGAAGAAACAUCAUAACCUGGGUGACAUUGGUUAUCCCUUCCUUGGGAAUUGAAACUCCAGGCCACUAAAUGUCUUAAAACUAUACUCAUUAACUUGGAAGUGUGAGUUGUUUUCUGUAUAUUUUUUCCUGUUUCUUGCCAAAUACAUGGGAACUGACUGACCACUGUGUUAACUCCAUUGGCAUUAAGGUGUAAAUCCAUAGCUCUAAAUGGAGUUUCUGCAGUAGUGCAAUAAAUACUCGGUCCUUAGAGUCAUGAUAACAUUACUUCUUCCUUCUCCAAGUAGGAGUUAUGCUUUUUUCUCCCCUUCUACCUCAAAAGUUGAGGAUGCCAAACAAACCUGUAUCACCUUCUUUGUCUUUGAGAGGUGGCAUGGCAAUAGUUGAAUGUGUCUCCUUGGUGAUGAGGUCAUUUCAUAUAGAAUCAUAGAAUCAUAGAAUCACGAAGGUUGGGAAAGGCCUCUAAGAUCCUCCAGUUCAACUGCUCAACUAUCACCAGUAUUUCCUACUAAAUCAUGUCCUUCGGUACAACAUCUAAAUGUUUCUUGAACACCUCCAGGGACAGUGACUCCACCAUCUCCCUGGGCAGCCUGUUCCAGUGCCUGACCACUCUCUCAGAGAAGUAUUUCCUAAUGUCCAACCUGAAUCUCCCAUGGUGCAACAUGAUGCCAUUCAGUCUAUUUCUGUCAUUAAUUAGAUGGGAGAAGAGGCCAAUUCCCACCUCAUCACCACCUCCCUUCAGGUAGUUGUAGAGAGCAUCUGCUCACUGCAGUGCUGAGCUCCAGGACCAUCAUUUGAUUGACUGUUCUAUUGGAUGGGUUGUGGUGAUUGCCCUGGACUUGUUUUUCUGUCUUGCAUAAGAGGCUUUUAAACGGCUCCAGUAUUUUAGCUGUUCAUGACGGGCACUUAACAAAACAGAAGAGGACUUUCUAAAUGAAAUGUAUCAACUAAAACAGGUGACAGUUUGCAGCUUAAUUGUGCUGUAGAGAAUAUGCUUACCAUGGUUUUCAGAAGAUUCUUGUAUGGAACUAAAGGUCAAAAAGCCUUUUAGUUCCUCCCAUGAAGAGUCCUGAGGCCCGUCUUUUCAAGGGAGUGAGCUCCAGUGCUGACAAAGCAGGCAGUGAAACUGAAGUUUUUUGCAUUCUCAGGUAACUGCUCAGCACUAAACCCCUCCUGACAGUCUGCUCUGCCCACUCCUUACCAAGAAGCACGUGUGGGAGGCAAAUGCAAGUCCAAUAAAAAGCCAGGGCAGUAAACUGAUGUACUUGGCAGAGCACAGCAGGGAACAUGACUUGGCACAUAUCAUAAUUAGACUGCAGGGAAGAGCAGAGAGACUGUUUAGUGAGGAUCCCAGUGGAAACCAGAUUCACAGGGUGGGAAGGAGGCUGAAUUCAAUUGUAGUCAACCUCUCAAGAGGAUGUUCUGAGUUUAGACAACCCCCUUCACAACUAGACCUUGGUUUUCACAUGAAGAGUUGUGACUUGUACGCGCAAGCCUUUUCUUACAUACUCUUACCUGUUUGGACAGGACUGAGCCUUGCUGAUCAUCAUUUCUAAUUGCAGGAACUCAUAUCUUUGCCCUGUUUAUAAAAAAGUCCCUGUCAAAUCUCUGCUUUCUUUAAUUUCCAAGGAAAAGCAUAUGAAGUGCAUGUGGUCUCUACCAGCUAAGCUUGGAUGCCAUCAGAUCUCCUGUAAUAGGUUCAGAGAAUCGUUAUUUAAACCACUAUUCAAAUUAUUUCAAGAUUAAAUUCCAAAUGGAGAAGCAUUAAAAUGCAUGAUCCCCAUCUGCGUAAUGUUCUUCCAGACUGUCCUCAUUUACAAAGUGCUUCUACUUAGCAAAAGUGAAAAAAAAAAAAAAAAGAAAAAGCAGCUAGUUUUUAAUUCACUAGACAGGAAUUCAGGGAUAUUCAGGGAUUAGUGACUAUGUACACAUCCCAGAAGGUGAGAAACUGGCAUUUUAGGCUUUGUAAAGUUAAUAAUGGGCUGCUGAUUCACUUGGCAUUAACAAAUGUUUACUUAUAAGCAUCCUAGAUUACUGAAAAUAAAAAAAAAAUGUUGAGUAGUAAAUUACAUGAAAUAGACAUAUUGAUAAAUGAAAUGGAAUUGAACUUGCUACAGUAAAAAAAAAUAAAAAAAUCAGGCCUUUCUGUUACUGGAUGUGUGGUUGCUUCUAUGUUGCCAUGGAAGCUCUUCCUUUAACACUGCUAGAAAAAAUGAGAAGGAGUUCCAUGAAUCUGUGAUCUGACUUUUUCAUCCUUUUUUCUUUAAGUGCAGUUCUUAAAAGCAUGCUCCAUAACUUUAAGAAUUUAACUUAAGGCAUGAAGAAAUUUGCAGAAGAGACUCUGCAAAAUCCCUUUGGAAGGAGUAACUAUUUAUAUGAUAGUAGCCAGCACAGAGGUUAAGCUAACAAUAACCUUGAAGACAGACCUCUCAACAGACUAUUUGCCAAAGAAUUCACCUGAAGGUAUCUGUUACCACAGUUGUCUUAAUAUAAGUAACAUGAUUUUCAAAAUCUGGAGUAUCCACAGAUCUCAUGAAAACUAACAACAAGUGGAGUAGUUCAGUAUUACUGAAAACUGGGUCAUUUCUACUUAACUACAGCCACUGUGGAACCUUUAUCCUGAGGUCCUACAGAAACCUGAAACUCUAAUAUGCUACAGACUGACCAGUACAUUCAUGGUAUGUACAUUUUAUUUCAGCUCUGUGAAGCAGAGGCACACCUUGUAACUUGAACUUACAGUUCAAAACCUCUUCCUUUAAUCUGGUGCAAACAAAAUGGACCACUCUUGGCCCACUGAUAAAUAAGUUAUGCCAUUUCAGCCCAGAGGCUGAAAGGCUCAGAACUAGAGUGUUAAAUUAGACCCCAAACUUUCAAUUGGAAAACAUUUUUUUUUCCCCACAACUGGUGUAUUGCGCUGCUGCUGUAUUUUAUUGGGUUGUGUGGGUUUAUUGAUUGUUUGUUUUGUUCUGUUUUGUUUUGGAAAGCAUCAGGCAAACCACUACUGAGUCUUGUGUUAGGUUAGAGAGAUGCCUUUCGCUGUGUGCAUCUCACCUGCAGAACAGGGACAUGGAAGAUGUUGCCCAAUGAGCUGGUGGAUGUCCCAUCCCCAGAGACAUUCAAGGUCAGGCUGGAUGGGGCUUUGAGCAACCUAAUCGAGCUGUCAGUGUCCCUGUUCAUGGCAGGGGAAUUGGACUAGAUGACCUUUAAAGUCCUUCCAACUCAAACGAAUCUAAGAUUCUGUAAACACAUAUGCAGCAGGGAAGAGUGACUGGCUUUCAGAGUGACUGGCUCCUUGGACUUAACAGGGAAGGACAGGUCUUGGGGCUGGCUCAGGAAGAGGGGACUUUGAAGGGUCAAGAGAGGGCUCAACUACUCUAGUGAACUUCUAGAAGGAUUUGUUCGUGUUCUUCUAACUUUUCCCUGAAAACUCAGGGCAAGAAGGUGAACUAUGUGUGCUGCUAUCUGUGCUGGAGAAGUCUCCUAAGUGAUGUGGGAUUUCUUAUGGGGCACCCUGAAAAGCUGGUUCAGGCAAGGUGCAGCAAUGCAAUGUCACAGAAGAUCUCAUCAUUUGACCCUGGGGUCAAAAUCAUUUUGCCCUGGGGGCAAACUAGAACAUGGAGGCUACUGCACCUUUCUCAUUAGAGCAUGUGAUCUCUUGCACCAUAAAAAGGAAACAUAUAAAAUUAUUUAUCUCCUGAACUGUUUGUGGAUGAAGAUAAAGGGCAAUUCCUCUGUUAUUCUUUCUUCUGUCACCCAGUCCUGAAGAUGGAACAUUAAAACACAGGUUAGGUUACCCAAGUCACUGCUGCAAAAAAAAUCCCUCGAGCAAUUCUGUCCUCGUUCAAAGUUCAGCGCUACCUGAAAAAAAAAAAGAAAAAAAGCCCAACCCUUCUUGGUCCCAGCAUGGUGCAGCUUUCAUGCCGUGUCUCUGUUUCAAACAUAUGUAAAGAUUUCAGCCUUGCCUUUGCAAAGAAGAGAAAACAUGCACUUUCCCCUUCAACUUAUGGAAAGGACAGUUAUGGUACGAAGCAGCGGAUGUAACUGCAGCUGCCACAAGCAGAAAAGGAUGGCUGAAAUAAAGGCAGGGCAAAAGCCUGCAACACACUUGGCUGCAGGAACCAAAGCUCUCUGUGCACUCUAAAGGACUUUGAAGGAAGACACUACGUAGUGCAAAGUUUGACCAAAGUUCAUUUCAGUGUCACAGUGCUCAGUUUUACCUAAGGAGCUGGGUACUCUUCCCUACCAUGAGCAGCAAGAAUAUGCUUUGGGUCCUAAAGCCACAUUCAGCCCUAAGGAUGAAAAUACCAAGGGGGAGAGAUUUCAAAAUGCACUCUACAAUUGCCAUAUGGUAUUCAAAAGAUCUGAAACUGAGGUUGCAUGAGGAGGGAAAGAAGUUAAUUAAAUUGUUAGUAAAUAGCUACUAAUAUUUGCAUUAUAGGCAUUUAAACUCAGUAUGCGGUCUCUCUUUUGUAUCUCCUGCAUCUGUUCUGAUUUUCUGUUUCAUCAUAAACAACACUCUAAGAAAAGGCAUCUUGUUCAUCUUUGACAGGGAGAAAUUAAAAAGAGAGUUGGCGUUUUGGACUGUAAUUUUGUUGCUAUUAGCAUACAAUGAAAGUUGACUUGCUACACAGAGUUUUCAGCUCUUGCAGAUGCUGCAGUGAGUAUUCUUCUACAUGCAGAUGUUGUACCUUUCCAACUACAGCCCAUUUUAAAAUUAAUAGCCAGGGACCAUAUUUUUGUCACAUCUGAGGGAAUAGAGGUGAGCUGUACUGAACUGGCACCUGAAAGCUACAGCUUGUAACAGUGCUGCUUUGCCAGGUAUUGCUGAAAACAAGAGAGGAAAAUAAGACACUAUCUUGCAGAGAACUUACAACAUAUCAGGCAAAGGAAAGCAGGAAGGCAGACAGGCAAGAGCAUGAGAUGUGAUAUGACACAGCCUGAGGGAGUAGUGUCAGGGAGCCUGGCAAAGCAAUCCAGACUUUUUAGUGCAUUUUCUAGAACACUAUCCUAGUUUUGUUUCCCUCCUAAAUACUCCAGGACAAGGCAGCUUACUCAGAACUGUUUGUAAGUUAGCCAGGAGAAAUCAGCUUUUGCCUUCUAAUGAAGAUUUUAAACAAAGUAGGGGUAAAGCAGGAGCAGGGAAAGAGAAGAGCAAGGUAUUCCUAAAGCUAAAUGGUUGCCCUUCAAAUCAUGGAACCCUUGAAGUACAACUGCCUUUGCUUUUCACUCUGGAUGCUCUCAGAGUCUGGCCAGAGAUAAAGUGCUAGUGCAAGCAAGGCUGACCUGAGAAAGUGAUUCAUGGUACCUGACUUCAAGGUGAAGUGAAGCAAUACGGGAAUGAGGCCUUCACUUCUCUGUAGUGCUGAGUGGAGGAAAAGGGUUGUGAUGGCUUGUGGUGGUACUGCUGCUGGGAGACCCAACUCAAGGCCCUUCAUAAUGACUUGAGUGCUCCUCCUCAGAAACCAGGCCUCUGGGCCUGACAUUUUGGACUGAGAAAGCCAAAUCCACAAGACUGCAGAAUCACUGCAAAAAUCCUGGGUGUGGACUUGAAAAUGUUAACUUCACCGUCAUUUAUCAGUUUCCCUUUGUGAUCAAAUAUCCUGAGUAUUUUCACUUUCCUCUAGUUAAAAGCAGCAUGUUAUGGAGAGCUUCUUUUUGUGUAGAAGCCAUGUGAGGUUUUACACCUGCAUGCAAAACAAAAUAAUUGUGUUUUGUUACUACUUUGAACCAUACAGCCACUUCUAUUAAAAGCUGCAUGCAAAUAGCUAUCUUUAGUGUGCCACAGAUUAGUCAUAUUUGUUUUCCAAGGAAGAUUAUAAAUAGUGUUUAGGGGGGAAACAGAAUGUAUUUUGCAAAUGAGUCCAGAUGGAAAACUAACAGAUGGCCCAGAACUGUAUUUUUGUAUGCUCAACCCUACAUUUAAAUUAAAAAUUUUCAUAAUUAAGAUGAAGAUCCGUAACAACACAAGCUACUUGUCCUGUGCAGCAUUAUAUAUCAUGCAUCACAGGUAUCAAGUGCAGACUUUUCAUAAAAUAGUUGUAGAAUGUGUAAGCAAAUUUUGCUACACAAUUAGUGGGGGAAAAAAAAAAGAGCAGGAACAAAAAGCAAUUCAUGAAAAUUAAAGAAAGGAGAAAAUGAAAACAUUGUAUACAAACACAUGACAUACAGGAAAGAUAUCUAGCACCAUCUGGUUUUUUUCCUUUGCGAACUGAAUGACCUGCCUCUGUACUCAGAAAAGGAAGGAGAAGAAAGGUCACAUUUUUUACAGCCUUUCAGCCCAGAACUGGUAGGCCAGUGGGAUUUUCCUUUUUCAUUCCCUGCAUGAAUUGGGGCUCUUUAAUUUUAAGAAUUGUAAGGUUGGAUAAACUGUGAUCAUAUGCACACGCUAUAUUUUGCAAGCAGAAGCAAGGGCAGUGAUUUGCAUGUUAAUAUUUUCCUCCCAUAAAGCAAUAUCUCUAUGCAUGGUUGGUGUAACUGCUACAGACUCGGUUCCUAAAGCUGGAACAUUACUCUGUAUGUGGUCUGAUGGUCAGGGGAUUCAGCAGAACUUACCUCCUUGACAUGAGGUGGAACAGGGACUCCCUCCUCAGCAUGAAACCCCAUCCUGGGCUCUCCACUGCCCAGAGCAUUACCCCAGCAUGGAGAGAUGUGGCUCCUGCGUUCACACCCAACAGCCUCUUGGGUGAGAGGGAGGAAGAGAUGCUACUGAUAGACUAUUUUGAAAUCGAUUGCUCUUGGGCCAGCCAAGAAUGAGGAGGAGUAGGAACAGCUUCAGAGCAUUUUUGCCUUCCCAUUGUGCUCCCUGAAGUGUCCUCCUUGGCUGUCCCAAUUCAUAAGCCAAACUUCCAGGCAUAGCCUUAUGGCAAGAGGUAUGGCCUCUCUACAAAGAAACAAACACCACCCACAUACAACUGCCAGGCAUUCUGCAGGGGUUAAUAAAAAUGACACUACCAGGAGACACUCAACUGCAAGUCAGCAACUCAGUGGUUUUACAAAUCAGUUCACUGUGGUAGAAAACAUGCUUUAUUAUCAUAUAGUAGCUGCUUCUGCUGCUCUGUCAUAACAUUUAAGUGCCUUACCAUACUGCAUUAAAUAGCAUGACUCGUGAUGAUCAUCUUGCUCAUUUUCCUGCUCAGCUCAUCCCCAUGGAGGGAAUUCUAGGUACAGCAGAGUGCCUUGUUUUGCUACAGUAUAUACUAUUUUUGGACAUGUUGUGGUGUUUAUUUUAGUGAAGGAAUGACUGGAGCUGCAUGUUUUGCAUUGGAGCACAUCAGGGGAUGCUUGUGACAGCUUUCCCCUGCUGCAGAAGUCUAUUCCACAGGAAUAGACUAUUGCCAGUUCCCAGGAUGGCAAAGGCAAGUUUGCCUUCAUGGAACAUCUGAUAAUGAGAAUAGCCUCAAAAAUGACAAAGACAAAAAUUCCACUUCAGAUUAACCCAUCUGAUAGCAUUCUCAGGCAUUUGUUGUCCAAAUCAUAAAUUCAAGUAAGGUGCUGUUUUCAUCCUAGGGAGUGCUAUUGUACUGCUGCCAAUGUUCUUUCAGAACUUUCUAUGUAGGUUUGACAUUUCUGGAAGAUUUCUCCCACUUGUCAGAUUCUCCCUCCCUACUUUUCCUCCUGUGUGUACCACUGAUCUGAUGGCUGCAGAGACAUCUGCUGGUUGUUAUACGCUCUGAGUAUUAAUUAAUUGUAAGGAAGGCAGAAAAUUCCUCAAAUCACAUUUAGAUUCUUCAAUUUAUUUUUCUAUUUCUUGAAGUUUGUUGAAAUAAAGUUUGAUUUAUUAGUGUGAUGGUGGAGUAAAGAUUUGAACUAGCCUGUUUCUGUAAUGGUAUUUAUUAAAGUUUUUGAGACGCAGGAAAUCCAGUUUGAGCUAUAACUCUCAUUUAGAGUCAGGUACAUUUAGAAGUUUAUAAUGACUCCCACAUCCUACAUGCAAUUUCCUAAUAUCUUAUGUACAUAGAAAUAGCCUUUUGGCUUUACUUCUGCAUUGCAAGUGCAAAUUCUUCAAAAUAAAGAAUAUUCUUUAUCUAUUUGUGCAGUAUCGUAAAAGCUAGACACUACCUUCUACUUCCAGCAGUGUCUAUGGCUUGCUUUUCUGCAUGUAUGUGUUUGGGAAGCAUGUCUUCAAUUCUUGCAGUCUGCUGCAACUCCUCCAGUCCCACCCUAACCUGUCACUGUUAGUCUAUUCCACUUUAAGAAGUUCUUCCCCCAUUAUCAGCUUAUUUGCACCACUCUGCUGACCUGGUAAUCUAUCAGCACUGAAACACCAGGUUAAUAAUUGACAUGCAACCUAAUCUGGGCUUUCCAGACAGGUGAAUUUGAUUGUAAAUCAGUUCUGCAUACAGGUUUGUCUCUUCUGUUCUUAAUUACACCUGAGCAAAUCUUAAUUUGCCUAAUAUAUUGUUUCAGCUUUUUGCAUUUCCAGAAUUCACAUUUCCAUAUCGAACACUUCUUGGAGAAGGAAAAUGGCUCAUCCAUUAAAUCAAAUGUGACAAACAAAAUAGUUAAUACUUCUCUUAGCUAGUGUUACUUGAAUUUACAGCCCAUGUUCUAGAAAAGCUUUGUGUCUAUAGUAGUAGCAAAGCCAAAAACCCAAGCAGAUAUUAAGGAUAAAGGAGAAUUCAUUUGUUUCCAUUUGAGAUUGCUUUGUAACUUGCACAGUUAUUUUUUCUUUACCUGAAAACAUUAAUACCCUCCUACAUAUAUUAGCUGUUGAUCUUCUCAUCAGGAGAGGAUGGGAUGUUUCCUGGUGCAUGCUUUCUCAGCUUGGAAAAGGACAGGCAACAAAGAGAAGCUUUACCAUCUAGGCCACAUCUUGCGGAAAGCCAGAGCUCAGUGUUAUUAAUUCUGUGCGUGUGGAAGAGUUCCAGAAUCUGCCCCAGGCCACCACCAGCAGCUGGAGCACAUCAUGGCCAUGGGCACCCUCAUCCCUGCUCAGCAGGGCUGGAAAGACCCAAAUCCUCCUCUUGCCUCUGAGACACAGUGCAGUGAUGCUACAGCCCCUCUCUACCCAACAACACAGCGGGCUGCAGUAAGAGCCCCAGCCAACAUAGGGUCUUGGUGCUGGGAUGGUAUUUCUUAGAGGAAUGAUCUUUGGAACAUAAUCAAGAGACCAAAUGCAAGGAUCUGCCAAUAGAGAGAAAGAGAGAAAGGAGAAAGAAAGGGAAUGCAAGCAUUUCCGAGUAGUAAGAUAUAUGAUGGAAUUCAUGAUGGGAUUUUCACUGAAGAAGAUAAUAUAAGCACAGGUUCUCCUAACAGUGCUACACAGUCAAUGCAUCAGACCAUUGCCCAGGCAACCUGCCUAGGAGAUAGGCUAUUUCUUUUGGGUAAACACAACAGAUUUAUUUUUCCAUUUUCUACUUUUUUCUAUCAGUAUAUCCUUUUCAGGACAGCAGCCUUUCUGUAUCUGCCUUUGUGACUAAAAUGACACUUACAAUAGGACCCAUCAAAUCAAAGGGAUCUUCACUGCUGAAACCUAGUGCUAGGGGCUGUCAGCUCCCUUAGCUGCCCACUGCCUCCCUUAGCUGUGACAUCACAGACCAGGUGUCCCAGAGCAGGCUGUAAUAGAGGUUAACGGCCAUGGGGACACCUGGGCUACACUGCAGACAAGAGAACAGGCUUCCAUGGAAGAUCUUUUUCUCAAGGGCUGCUCAGACCAGGAGUUUGAUAAAGAUGCUUGUGAUAUUAUAUGCAAAAUGGCAGUUUGAGAAAUACAUGCUGGGGCACUGUAUAGGAAGUCCGCAUCAGUGCUUGAUCACCAGUUAGUGUCUUUUCCCCAAUCAGAUUUAGAAAUGCCUUCUUUAGUGUAGGUGCAAAGACUCACACUCACAAAUACACUCCCUCUGCCAAUGGACACAUCAGGUGGAAAAACACUGGUGUGACAAACACAUAUGUGAGACAAAGCUUGGGGACAGCUGCAGAUUUUAGAGAAGUGACCCAGCACAACAGCACAGAUGGAAGCAGUCACAGAGAGAAGGGGAGACUUGCUUUGGCUGGUUGUACCAAUUCAAUCACAGGAAAGACAUUUGGCUUGGCAGCAGUUGACAUGACUUGGGAAAGGACCAUUUCCUUCACUUUGACCUUGGGAUGUCCUUUCUCAAAGCAUUCUCCAGCUGCUUCAGUUCCCGAGGAAUGAAAUGAUCAUUGCCCAGUAUUACUCUUUUCCUGGAGUUCUCCUCCACAGAAGAAAAAUCUUAGUGGCAAAUAAAAUUGGAGUCCUGACCUUAAUCUGGGAAAAAGGGGAAAAGGAGAAUGAGAGGACUACGUUGUUUUAUGUCAUGAAGGAAACAGUAGAGCUUUGUAGCAUAUGCCUCCUUCUGACUUAAACUCACAUGUUCUGACCAAGCUGACAGUUAAAAAUGUAAAUCUGUCAUGAUGAUCGUUAUGUUUUGUUGAGACAAGAAUUCUACUUAACUCACAGAGCCUGCAACUUUCUCUUCCCUGAAGAAAUUUUUGUUUUGUCUUCAAACAUUUGGGUCACCUUUAGUCAUCAAGUCUUGAAUGUAUAACUCAGGACCUAGAAGCAUUUUCACUAUUGAAAGAUGAGGAGUAAAAUUUGUAAUGGGAUUGUUUCAUAAUAUGGGAUAAAACACAAAUGCUAGGGGAACUACAGCUUUGUUUGCAGUCUAUCUAAGAGGUUUUAUUUCCAACAUCUGUUCAUUGCUUGCUGUGCUGUUAGCUGAUGCAGAAGUUUCAGCUGUUUGCAGAAGAAACAGGAUAAUUUGUUUUUUAAUUCCUUUCAAGUAUAUCUCUAUCUAAUUCAUUCUGUUCCAAGAACUAAAGUCAACAGUGGCAAUUUAUGCAUGAACACAUGACUGCGAACACUUGUCAAGGUUAGCUGAGGUGAGGAGGAGGCUUCUGUCCCAUGCUGAGAAGGGUGCUGUAAUUCUGCAGUGGGUAGGACUGCCUGUAAUCUUGCUGCUGAUCUAAAGCCCAUCUGGGCAGAGCCCUGCAGCCCUGAGACUGCAGCAGCCAACUCAGCUCAGCACAAUUCAGUGAAUGUGUCAGUCAGUGCUGGGGCAGGUGGCUCUGGUGGGGAUUCUCUCUCCUGGUGCUGCAUUUUGGGAGCCUGCAAAUGCCAGGUGAGGCCAAGGUACAAUGAAGGACGUGCCUGGAAGCAGCAGGCUGUGUGACUGACGGCACUUGGGUGUUUGCUGUGGUUGCAAAGCUCCAGAGAAGAGGUCUGAAGUUUUUUUCACAGGGCUUGUGAUCAUUGCGGGGAAUCAAGCAGAACUUGAUGCAUAGGCCUGCUCCCUUCUGAAAGGUGGAUGCAGCUCUGUGGGUGAGUUUGUGCUUUAUGUUGUCCUGCUAUGUUAUCUCACAGGCACUAUGGGUAUCGCUGGUGAUCAAAGUUACAACUUAAGUCAGCAAGUCUCUGAAACUGCCACAGAGGUGAGGAUAAAUGCCGACUAAAUGCAGGACGUCUAAAUGCUCUAGAAAAAAUUCAUCAUGGGAAAUUAAGUGCAGGACAAUUUAUGUGUCAAGGAUUCCUCCCUCCUUAAGGCAAAUGUGGAGAAAAUCUAAGACAUGGCUGUUAGUACGAGGUGACCAGUUACGAUGUGAACCCAGCAAGCUGCAGUAGAAGGAUUGAGAUCUGUUGCGUGUCCUGAAGCUGAACAACCUUCAGUGGGCAGGAAAUGAGGGCUGUAGAGGAAAUUUAUAGAAUCAUAGAAUCAUAGCAUGGCUUAAGUUGGAAGGGAACUUAAAGAUCAUCUACUUCCAACCUCCUGUCCGGGCAGCUCAGGCUGCCCAGAGGCCCAUCCAACCUUGUCUUGUACGCUACCAGGGAUGGGGCAACCACAGCCUCCCUGGGCAUCCUGUGCCAACGCCACAUCACCUUCUGAGUAAAAAAUUUCUUCCAAACAUCUAACCUAAAUCACCCCUCUUUUAGUUUAAAGCCAUUCCCCCUUGUCCUAUCACUAUCAGGCCAUGUAAAAAGUCGGUCUCCUUCCUGCUUGUAAGAUCUAUUCAAGCACUCACGCCACAGUGAGGACUACCCACAGCCUUCUUUUCUCCGAGCCAAACAAGCCCAGCUCCCUCAACCCUUCUACAUAGGAGAAAUUCUCCAGCCCUUUGAUCAUCUUUGUGACCUUCGCAGGACCCUCUCUUACAGCUCUACAACCCUCCUGUGCUGGGGGCCCCAGGCCAGGACACAGUAUUCCACAUGGGGCCUCACAGGGGCAGAGUAGAGGGGGCCAAUCCCCUCCCUCUCCCUGCUGGCCACCUCUCUCCUGAUGCAGCCCAGGAUACUGUUGGCCUUUGGGGCUGCAAGAGCAUGCUGCUGGGUCAUGAUUUUCAUCCACCAGGGCCCCCAGGUCCUUCUUGGCAGGGCUGUUCUCAGUGAGUUCUCCCUGUCUGUACUCACACCUGGGAUUGCCUUGAUCCAAGUGCAGCAUCUUGUGCUUGGCCUUGUUGAUCCUCAUUAUAUUCUCAUGUGCCCACUUUCUGAGCAUGUCCAGGUCCCACUGGAUGGUGUUCUUCCCUUCUACUGUGUCAGCUGCACAGUAGAAGGCACUCAGCAUGGUGUCAUCAGCAAAUUUAUAGAGGGUAUGCUCAAUCCCACUGUCUAUGUUGUUGAUAAAGAUGUUGAACAGCAUAGGUCCCAAAGGUGGACCUGGGGGACACUGCUCGUUACCAGCCUCCAUCUGGAUACAGAGCCCUUGACAACAACCCUCUGGCUACGACCAUCCAACCAAUCAUUUAUUCACCUAAUAGUCCAGCCUUCAAAUCCUUACCUUUCCAAUUUAGAGAAGGAUAUGGUGUGGGACCAUGUCAAAGUACUUGCACAAGUUCAGGGAGAUUACAUCAGUUGCUCUUCCUUUGUCCACUGAUGCCACCACUCCCUCAUAGGAGGCCAUCAGAUUGGUCAGGCAUAAUCUGCCCUUAGUGAAGAUGUGCUGGCUGUCUCAGAUCACCUUUACAUUUCACAUGUGCCUUAACAUCUCUUCCAGAAGGAUCUGCUCCAUGAUCUUUCCAGUCAUGGGGACUCGUUCUGUGGAAUGUGCUUUACAGAGCCUGUGUGCAGCUCUGGUCCACCCAGCAUGGAGAUCUUGGGACACUCCCUUCUCCAAGAGAGUACAUCCCUGCUUGUAUUGCAGUACCUUCGUAUUUUGUGAAUUGACUGUUCUUGCAAGGAAAAUGGAAAGGUCCCUGUUCCUGCCUCAGGCAGCACAGCCAUCCUCUUGGAGAUGAUGCCCCACAUGUUCCUGCACAGUGUUAUGGAGGAGUCUGCGAAGUGCUGUUAUUGCAGUGCUGUGAUUGACAAGGUACUCUGAGCUCAGCAAGAGGAAUUGCCCCUGACUUCCCAUUGUUCCUCAGGUUAUGUUGGGAUUUUAUACUGUUUCUUGACACCAUGUGCUAAACACCUUAAUUAGGAGCAGCCAGACCACCUGUUUUUGAAGGGCUUUUGUUCCUACUGUUGCAAUGGCAGCAGAGUCCUCAAAGUGAAGUUCUUGUUGCCAUGUCUUUGACAUGUAGUGCUCUGCAGCAUCAUUAUCAUGUGGUAUAUAUUUUAUGGCAGGAGAUACUGACAAAGCACCAGGGAAAAGCAGUGGAAGGAAAAUAUCCUGCUAAAAAUUAAAUAUGUUUGUAAAAGGCAAGAAAAAAAAAGCCAUUAAAAAUAUAAGCACAGCUGGUCCUUUACCACUCUUGGGGUGUGUCUGCCUUUCUUUUUUUGCAGAAAUGGCUCUUCUGAGAGACUAUAACCCUAACCCUGGCAUAAAGUUUAAAAAUAUGCCUACUCAAGCAACUGCCUUUUUUUUUUUUUAAGUCUAACCAUCUAUGCAGGUAAAUCUACCAGACAAACAAAUGCACACCAGUUGUUUUCUCCUCCUCCAGUUUUCACUGGGGCAACUAAAAAUCUCUGUAUACAACUUUGCACCACAGUGGAAUUUGGCUUUUUUUCUGAAGGAGGAAAAGGGGUAGAUGUCUCUGUCACUGGCUGAGCCCUAAGAUACAGAAAAGAAUCAAAUUCUUAAGAACGUAAACCGCUGAUCUGAUCUGAUCUGAUUGUAGCUUUCGAAUUCUGAGCUUUUCUUUUUUAAUUGUCUGCAGGUGUUUAUCCUUUUUCUUAAGUGGUAAAGAAAUGUCAAAAAUCUAUCUUUAUAGGGAAACAAAAAUGCUGAUAGGCCACAUCUUCCCUAGCUCUCUACUGCAAAGCAGGACUAGUGAAACAAGAUCAGUUUUUAACCCUGUUUUUCCACUGCUUAUAAAAAAACAAACAGAGCGAGAUUACUGUUUCCGCGGGUAGAAAAAGGCAUUACAGGAUUCCUUUCCUUUCUACUUUUUCAUGUGCUUCAGAGCUGAACAAAUUGUAAUGAGAAAGUUAUCCAAUGAAAGCAGUCUUUUUUGCAGUUUGCAAAUGGUGCAUGCACAGGUUUACAUUCUUACAUACUGCUUCUUUCAUGAGAGUUUGUAAAUACCCUUUGUGGACAUUAUAUGUUCUUGAUUUGCUUGCAAAGAGUUUACUUCAUCUUCAGGAUGAUCAUUCCUUACUAGUGGGUCAGCCGCAAAAAGCGCAUUCAAACACUUUGGUUUCUUACUUAGAAAUUAAGAAGGGAGAGUAAAUUAUGUAAAGCACUCUUUAAAUAUCCAGGUACUCAUGAACACAGCUAUGAAGAAUGUCUGAAAGGCCACUUCCAUAAAAAUAUAAGACACGUAUAAAGGAAUAUGUGGCAGAACCACUGGGUCAAGAUUUAAGAAAAUGCUCAUGACUAAACAUGCCUUCUAUUUUUUUUCACCCCAUGUUACUGUACGUGACACUAUCCUUCCUCUGAUCUGUUGCUCAUCUCUGCUGGACCUCCCUGGAUUAUUAUAAAGUAUCCCCUGCAGGAUGGCGUUCUUGGAUAAAGUACAGAAAAAAGGCCUGUUUGCAUAAUAAAAACAACGUGAGGGAGUCAUUCAUUAGACUGGCAUAUUGUUGUUUUUGCUACUUGAAUGGCAGAUUUAUUGGUCUUCUUGGUGUAGGUAUUUAUUGCUGAGAUGGGGGAGAAAACUGAAUCAUAAACAUCUCAGUGACUUUGAAUAAAAGCUAAAGAAAUGCUGAGGUCAUUCUAGCAGCUUGUGUUUGUGGAGUGCAACAGAAGGUGUUCAGAAGAAGAUAAAUACUUGUUUCAGCCAGCUACAAUAGAAACCUGCUCAAUUCAUGUAUCAGCUAUUAGUUGUUUCUACAAAUGACAGAAAGGAAAGCAAUGCUCUUCUCAGUAAGCUACUCUGCAUGCAAUUUGUUCUUCCAAGGAAGAUCUCUCUGGUUCCAGUAUUGAAAAAAUGUGCAGUGGCCACAGUGCAACUGAGACAUCCCAACAGCUAGCCCACUAGCCAGCCAAAAAUGGUAUUUUAUAUAAUUCUCAGUCUGAGAAGCAUAGAAAUCUCUAUAUUAGGUUGCUUAUCCACUACAAAUAGUUGAGUAGGAGGUGGAAUUAGGACAGGAGUGAGAAGGAAACCCAACAAAGAAGCUGUUCUUCAGGCUCGAGAGUACUUUCCUGGGGCACUCUUCUCAUACAACAUGAGAGACCCUUGACUGUGCAAAAAGGAAAGCAUAGGGCAAAAUUUGAUGUAGAAAGUCAGUUUCUGUACAAUUCACUGUUUCUCUUUGAAGGUUCUUCUGUAUCUUAUCACUUCCUACACUGGUGCCAAUACUGGGGAGAAAAUAUACCUGAUGUUUAAAAUUAAUAUGUUCAUGCUGUCUUUGCUGGGACAUGACAACCCAUGUGUGCCAAUCACAUCAGAAUGGAAAGGCUGACAUACCAGAAGUCAAGAAAAAUCUGCAAUUGCACUAUCCAAGGGUUGCAACACAUUAUUUCCAUUCAUCUUAAAAUACAGCAGCCGUGAAACCUUGGCAACUAGUGAAGCAACUGAUGAUACCUGAUUUGUGAAGCUCACAUCCUCUCCUGGUGGCUGAGACCUGUUGUAUGUAAACUGCCACCUCAGCCAAGAGAUCAGAGUUGGCAACUGCCUUGCUUUGAGCAGAAACUGGACCAGAUGACUUCCAAAGGUCCUUGCCAGCGUGAAUUGUGAAAUAUUCAUCUGAAUUUGGAUAGCAACCAAAGGGAAAUACCAAAGAUCUUGUGAUAUGCAAGAUUAUGGUCACACUACUGUUUUCCCACUGUGUGUCACUGUAUCAGCCCAAACAAGUACAUCUACUCUGAAAUCAGUAACAUUAGAGAGUCUGUAUGACUCAAGUGCCCUAUGUUCACUUCAGGAAAGAAAUAAUUUAAUUAAUCUCUCCUUUCAUGUAAUGCCCUAUGCUGUGGCAAAUAAAUAAAACUAAAAAGGCUCCCUCCCCCUCCUCUCCCCCCCUCCCAAAAAAAGAAGAAAAGAAAGAAAAAAAGAAAAAAAAAAGUCUUAUCGAUCUGCAAUGGCUUCUCUGGUCUUUCUGAAACCAGUAGGUUGCAGACUAGUCACGAGUAGCAGUAACUGCUUGUUGUGUAUGACGUGUAAUCUGCAUUUGCAGUAAUGACUCUGAAGAAGCCUGCUCAGCAGCUGUUGCCUGACAGCCAGAAGAAAAGAGACAGAGAGAUUUUUCCCAUUGCUCUCCACUUAGCUAUUCAGCCCCCUCAAAUCCCCAACUGUUUUAAACAAGAAAGUGUCAUCCUGACUUGCUUUGGGAGCCCUGGGGAUCUGGAGUGUGCCUGCUGGAGAGAAAAUUUGUUUUCUUCCACGUAUAAUGUAUCCAUUCACCCUUCCCAGUAAAAGUGGGCUUAAUUUUCUUUCUUUCUUUUUUUUUUUUUAAGGGAAUAAUAUACCAGUUAGCUCAGUUUCUUUUUUGCCAGGCCUUAGACUACAAAUGGAGACAGGUAACUCAGUCUCUGUAAAAGCUGAUUUGUUACAUGAAAAUCUGGACAUUGCAUACUGAAUAGCACAUCAAGGUUCUCAGGGAUUAUCCACAGCUCUGUCCCUCCCUACCUCUAAUGUGAGACUAACCCUGGCCCUGAUUCUUAAGCUGUUGUGAAGACUUGAGGAACAGAUCUCUAUAAACAAUGCCUCUCUUGACUUUAAAAUUUGAUGUGCUCUAACUGCACACAACUCUCAAAAGCUAUGGUGGUGCAGCAACCACAGCUAGAAGCACAAGAACAUUGUUAACACUCCACAUACCCAGCAGGACUUCCCUCAAGAGAGGAGAGGUUCUCACACCACCAGGUAUGCUCCAUGUCCUGAGCUAAUGUCUGGCCCUACCAAUGGACUCAACCAGAUGAUAUCGGAGGGACAGACCUGCUGUAAUUCAUUCCCCUUUCUGCUCUUGCACAGUGUGAACUGUUUUGGUCAUAUUCCACAUGGUGUCCAUCUUACAAGGACCAUCUUAAAAGGAGUUCUCACUUCAAAGAGUUUGGUUUCCCAGCAGCAAUUUCUCACGAGUCCCUUUAGAGGGACACUCCUGACAAUAUGAAAUAUUGCCAGGUUAUGGGAUUUGGAAAUAACUGUGGUGGUACUCAGUUAGUCUCAGAUUCUAUAAAAACCUGGCAACAGGCAAGUGCCAACCUAGGUGUUCUUAUUCUGAUGUUUGUUGGCCCUCUGCAUGCCAAAGAGCACCCUCACCUGCUUUUUCCUUUUCUCCAACACACACAGAGCAGCUACCGUCUGCACAGACCUGGAACUCAGUGCAGUCUUCUCCCGUGAGGAUUCACCUGCAUGGAAAGCCACCGUGCAAGUGCAUGUGAAAACAUACUCCCAUUUACCGUUUUGUGAUGUUUCUCUCUUUAAAGGGGUGUGAUUUGAGCAAGAGACGUUUUGAACUACCUCUGAAAUGAGAAGUGCACCUUCAGCCAACAGAGCGUCAGCGUGCACAGCCCCAGGCUCCCUGUGCUGCAGGCAGCCUUGCAAUAAACUCUGCUUUCUGCCCUUCUCCGUGCAUCUUCUAGAAUCUUCACGUAAAAGAAAAUAUGAAUUAAAAAACAGGCAAACAAUAAAAACAGGCCAAACAAAAGAGAGCAACUGCAUUUUCUUUUCCUGCGGUGGACCACUCCCCUCCUGAGAACUUCUGCUCUUCCCACUUUUGUUGAAUUGCGCUGCUCUGCUGAAUUGCACUGCAAGGACUUGCUCUGCAAGGACCGUGCAAGACAGCACCUUCCUCUCCACAUUGGCUGUGCAUCAAGCUUGUCCUGCAAGCAUCUGGAAAGUCAGAGAUAGACUACAAGUACUGUGCGUGGCUUAGAAUUCGCAGGGUAGCUCCUCUUAGCAAGAGCUUGCUCCAGCCCUUCCUCCUUCCAAGGAAGAAGACUGCAGCUUUUACAAAUGUGGUGGCAUACAGACAGACUUCUACAUUACUUGACACACAGCCUUCCCUGAAUUAGAGCGUCCAGUGCCUUUUCAGCUUCCCUGCAGGCUUCAGGAAAAAUAAAUCCUUGGCUUUGUCCACAUGUGAAAAAAGGUAGAGAUUUCCAAACUCAGUCUUCCCAGACAUUUGAUUAAGAUGACAUAAUUUGACAUGAGUCAGCAUGAUUGGCAAGUCAAAGCAUACUGCUGGCUCUCACAGCUCAGGAGAGCCUGGUAAACUGGCAGAGCUCUGACGGUCAUCGUGGCACAGCCUAUGUGUGGCAUCUCUUUAUACUCUCUCUAUUUACACUCAGAAAAAUUGUUUCACAGUUCAUAUUAUCUGGGCCACAUCAGGUCUCAGAAAGGGAGCAAGAAGAUAGGAAUGGGAGUGACACAAGCCUCCUACAAGUAGUCACUGAAGUAAUGACCCCGGGUAUAGAGUCACUUCGGGCAAACUUCUGAAAUGGCACAGCCUGUUGGGUGGUGCUGAGCUCUAUUUGAAAACUAGGCCAGAAGCAUUGCAGUGGAAACAGCUGGUUACUGAGCGAUUUUAAAAAUCUGGCUCUUGUUUAGCUGCUUCCAUGGGAACUGAGCUAAAUUGAAAACCUGGCCCCAACCAGGCAUGCUGAGCACUUCAAAAUUGGUCCUUCUGCUCUUUGGAAAUUUCAGCCGAUGUUGCAUUCUGCCAGUACUUGAGAUUUCCUUGUUUUCAGUAGGAAACCUUCUGAAGUAUUACUGAUUUUUGUUCUACAUUUUUUGCUGCUGCUUUCUUUUUCAGCUAACACAAACAUCAGUGUCUGUCAAUUUCAGAGUCUGUUCCAGGCUCUGUGUGCCAGCAUGGUUACUGCCUGCUAAUUUCUUUGCUUAUAAGCAAGGGUAGAAGUUGCUAUCUGUCACCUUUGAGCUUGCCAUUUGUUGCCUUUGAAUCCUAGCCUGAAUGAGUGUGGGCUUCUUUCAGCCUGCAUCCAGAACAAGGCUAAAAAUCAAACCUUAUAUACAGUGGGAACUCUCUCCAUCACAACCCUUAGCCAAGUCUGGGGCCCUAUUGUACUCGCUGUUGUGCAAUAAAGCCUGUCCCUUCUCUGCAGCAUAAGCAGACAAUAUGGAUGUGGACUGGCAGGGGAAAUGGGAAGACUGAAGUGUUAAAGCAACUUAACCAAGAAUGCACAAAGCAUGGACAGCUGGGUUGAGAACAGUACCCAUAUCAAACUGAUAUCCACAGCUGGACAAGUGUGUUCCCUGCACACCCCUAGCUUUAGGUGACCAGUGAAGGGCUAUUAGUAAAUAAGGACAAAAACAAGAAGGAGGAUUUCAAAUACAGGCAGAAGAGCAUAUGAUUAAGUUUUUUCUAAGGCUGCACACUGCUAUGUAACUUUGAUGGCUGCCAGUUAACAAGCUAGCUCUUUUAAGAGCACGCUGUGAUGCUCUCAUGGGGACGGAAGUGGCAUCAGGACAGGUUAUUUCCAUGACCUAUGUCAGUUGCACACUGCUGGGAAAUGGUGAUCGGUGCUGUGUAGUGCAUUAGUGCAUUUGGAUGCCCUUGCCUCCAGCACAGAGAUGCGAAGGUACCAUCAGAGCUGAAUAGUUGAUGAUGUGACUUUGGACACAGUGUAAAGCCGUGGGAACAAGCUGGUGAGUGCUUUCAGCAGCCUGAAUCCAAAGAGCCAAGUUAAUUCAGUUUUUGCAUUAACUGGUUGUUCUGUGGGAGAGGAGUAACGUACUGCUUCCAUGCAGCUGAGGAGGGAUGAUAAACAGAGACCCAAUACCAGCUAGAAAGCAUGCAGCUGUUUCUGUUUUCAUACGAAAGGCAUCAGGCUGGUCUGAACAUCUUGACUGUGUAGAGGACAAAUCUCCCUGUGUCUAACUUCCUGUUGGCUUCCUGAAUUGGAAAAUGUCUCUUAUUGGGCAGUAAAGUCAAAGCUAGAAUUCUGACAAAAGCAGAAGCGAUACCACUCCUGGUAAACUGGCAGAGCUGGGAAGCUCAUUAUGCCACAGGAGUGAUACCACUCCUGCUCCCUGAGUUGGUGAACAUACUUCUGAACCUCUUGGGGCUGUUCUGAAGAGAGCAUGCAGCUUCUCCUCACCUCAAAUCUCAACAGACUUCAUUCCUGUGGCAACCGCUGUCUUCCCAUUUGCAUACAAAGUAUAGACUGCCUCACACAGAACACUGUUUGGAUUGGCUAUUCUGUUAUAGCCAAUCUCAGCAGGUCGGGGGGUGGGGGUGGGAAAUCCCAUCUUCUUGUUUACCUUCAGCUCUGUGAAUCCUGAAUAGGUUUCCGAAAAUAAAAAUUCAUGACAGAAAGAAGAGAGGGAGAAUGAACAUUGCUUACUGCUACAGAAAGGAGCCUUUUGUUGGAUAAAGUUCAUCAUGAGUUACACACUCCUCUUUCCAGGUUAAAGACCACGCUGCCUUGUGGUCUUGUGCCUAUGACCACAGAUAUGAUAGGAGAGGCAGCAUCUCUUUUGCCUCUCUUUUACUUCUGCUCUGCAAGGGCCUGUUCUUUCUCCUCUCUCCAGGUGGUGGCAAGGUCAGGCUGCCCCCUCCACACGGCAGAUGAUGUCUGUCUCCCUGAUAUUAAAGUUUUGCUAUGUGUCUUCUUUGAGUGUGCAAAUCCUGAUAAAAGCCUGGUGCAGAUCAGAAGCUGGGCUCCAAUAACAGGCUUUGCUAAACAGCCUCUUUCUGGUUAAAGUUUUGCUAUGGGCGGCUUAGUUCCACUUUGAAGAUUUUCCCUUCUGUUUCUCUGGUAUCUGCAGGGCAGGGGGGAGGAAUGUGCUCUCCGACAUGCAUUCUCUGCCACCGCUAUUUCUAGCUGUGAAUAGUCUGCUGCUUUACAGCAACUGGGACGGUGUGCUUAGUUAAUGAAUAGUCUGUUAUGGAAGAUGAAGCAGAUAUCCCUCCACUGAGAGAACAAUAAUCUUGUGAUCAUUCAGUUUGUUUUUGCCUUGAGCAGUUAGAAGUUACUAGAGUUACAUGUAGCUUAAGCAAACACGGAUCCAUAAAGUUCAAACCAGGCUUCUGUUUUUGAGCAACUUUCUGUUUCACUGGUGAAGAUGAAAAUAGAGAGAUUUGCUGCAUAUACUGUGGAGAAACAUGGCAGUGUGACUGUAGCAUCCAAGCUACAGCAGUAAAUAUUC